ACACAUGGCCGAUGUUGGUGAAAGUGUAGUAUGUGAUCAUGUCAGCUUAAUAUCUGAUGAGGAUUGUAUUCGUACCCAAGACAUUAAACUUAUUUUGUGCUAGUUGGUGGAGCGCUUGAAGCCUGCUUCAGCGUCGCCACAGGUCGGCCUGAUAUUGCACUAUCUUUGGGAUUGGCCCAUGGUUU